GGCAGUAAAAUUCAUUAGAGAGGAAAAAGCAGGAACAUUGAAUCGAUAAAAACUAUCAACCGCAUACCUAUUCGGAUAUUACGAGUGCAAAUCAAAUUAAUUUGGCUAACUAUUUAUCUAAGGUUACUAAAAUUUCAAGAUAUAAAUACCCUAGCGAUUGAAAAAACGUUCAAUACUCUCGUAAUUCGCGUUAAAGUUUCAGCUUAGAAUUUUUUUCAACCUAUAGCCAAAAAUGAAUUAAAUGUAUGUAUUUUUAUUUCGUUUCAAGAAUUAUGAAAUUUCAAGCCUUCAUUUGUUGCUGCUUUAUAAUUAUCCACGUACGAGAAAAUUCUCCGUGGGAAAAAGACACUGAAAAGGAAGUUUAAAAACAUGCCAAAAUUUUGGAUGGAAUAUCGUCAACCCACGACAGAUCAUGCCUCAGAAGCACUAUAUGUUUACACUUUAUUAUGAUAUUAGAAACAACCUAUAAGUACAAUAGAAAAACUAUAAGAUUCGAAAAUGAACAAUUGAAGAGCUACAGUAUUUAAAAACGUGUAAUAAGGAUUUAUCUGAAUAUCGUUUGAAUUUGGUGAGUAACUGGUUGUUUCGUGAGAUUGAGGGACGUGUGUAUAAGAACAACUUUUAAUAGGUACCUAGCUAUAUUAUAUUUAUUUGUUUCAGACCGUGUGCGAAACCUCUCUUACUACAUCUAUACGCGAUACGUGAAAAGAGUGAACUUUUAAGUGUGGUUAAUAGAAAUGAUCGACGGAAAUGAUGGAAUACUGUACAUUUCCGGGUACCUAUAUGGCUCCAGUGUACACCCAUGGAUCGUUACGAGAGGUUUGAUCAUAUUCGCAACAUGUGGAACCGGGGCUACGACAAUAAGCAGUUGCCUCUACAUGAAUUACCAAUAGCAAUGCCUCAAAACCGCCAAAAAAUAUCAUCUACAGCACACGUAGAACACGAUACGUUGGGCAAAAAACCAAUCGGAGAAAAAGAAAUAGAAUCCAUCUGCGAUUUAGGAGGAAGGGAUUCGAAAUCGAAAUUAGGCUGUAAGAUGAUAAUGAAUAAAUGGAUCCGUGAAGUGUCCCAAAACAGUAACAUCUACAGAUUAUCUAGUUAUUAUCCCUGAAGUUAUUUUGAGAAAUCAGAUUAAUUCUACGUUUUUCAGUUCUUUAAUUUACCGCAUAAAUUAAUCAGUAAAAUCUGCUCUAAAUAAAUGAUCUGAUUAAUAAAUACUAUAAAAAUUUCAAAUCAGAUCAUUUAUUUAGAGCAGAUUUUACUGGAUUAAUUUAUGGGGUAAAUUAAAGAACUGAAAAACGUAGAAUUAAUGCUAAGUAGAAGUAGAUUUGACCCAAAUAUUUUUCAAACUUUUAAUCCGAAGUGGUAGCUAAACACAUUUUGUUUAUUCUGUUAUCUAUUAUAGACAUAAUUUGACUCUCUAUUUAUAUAUUUUUAGAUAAUAUUUGACUGUUCAUUGUAAAUACAUGAGUAUUGGUCUUGUC